rnacentral:rRNA from 1 species
ACCAGACUCCUACGGGAGGCAGCAGUGAGGAAUAUUGGUCAAUGGGCGCGAGCCUGAACCAGCCAAGUAGCGUGAAGGAUGACUGCCCUAUGGGUUGUAAACUUCUUUUAUAUGGGAAUAAAGUGCAGUAUGUAUACUGCUUUGCAUGUACCUUAUGAAUAAGGAUCGGCUAACUCCGUGCCAGCAGCCGCGGUAAUACGGAGGAUGCGAGCGUUAUCCGGAUUUAUUGGGUUUAAAGGGUGCGUAGGCGGAGUGUCAAGUCAGCGGUAAAAUUUCGGGGCUCAACCCCGUCGUGCCGUUGAAACUGACGCCCUUGAGUGAGUGAGAAGUAAGCGGAAUGCGUGGUGUAGCGGUGAAAUGCAUAGAUAUCACGCAGAACUCCGAUUGCGAAGGCAGCAUACCGGCGCGCAACUGACGCUCAUGCACGAAAGCGUGGGUAUCGAACAGGAUUAGAUACCCCAGUAUAU